rnacentral:rRNA from 1 species
GUAAAACUUUCAGCGACGGAUGUCUUGGCUCCCACAACGAUGAAGAACGCAGCGAAAUGCGAUACGUCUUGCGACUUGCAGAAUCCAGUGAAUCAUCAAAACUUUGAACGCA